UACGGGGGGAGCAAGCGUUGUUCGGAUUUACUGGGCGUAAAGGGCGCGUAGGCGGUCAGCACAAGUCAGUUGUGAAAUCUCCGGGCUUAACUCGGAAAGGUCAACUGAUACUGUGCGACUAGAGUGCGGAAGGGGCAACUGGAAUUCUCGGUGUAGCGGUGAAAUGCGUAGAUAUCGAGAGGAACACCUGCGGCGAAGGCGGGUUGCUGGGCCGACACUGACGCUGAGGUGCGAAAGCGUGGGGAGCAAACAGG
rnacentral:rRNA from 1 species